CUCUGUCGCUCUCACUCUCUCUGUGUCUGAGCUUCGAGCUCUCUGUCGCUCUCUGUUCGAGUUCACUUCCCUUGUUCCGUUGUCAUCAGCCCGUCACUUCCCAUUCCUCCCUUGCCGUCACUUUCCUUCCUCCUUCGCCGCCGGUUAAUUUAUUUUUGCUGGGUGUUGAAGAUGGAACAGGAACAACAGCGAGAAGACAUUAUUUAUUCAAUUUGUUGAAUGGUGAUGUAAUUCUGAAUUCAAUUUAAUUUGGAUUCUGACUUUGGAAUUCGAUUCAAUUUAGUUUUUGCUCCUGAUAUGUUUUCAGAUUAGUUUGGAUUCAUAAGUUAUAACUAUACUGUUGAUUAAUUGAUUUGCUGCUGAAAGUUUGAAACUA